GUUGGGUUAAGUCCCGCAACGAGCGCAACCCUCGCCAUUAGUUGCCAUCAUUUAGUUGGGAACNCUAAUGGGACUGCCGGUGNNAAGCCGGAGGAAGGUGGGGAUGACGUCAAGUCCUCAUGGCCCUUACAGGGUGGGCUACACACGUGCUACAAUGGCGACUACAGAGGGUUAAUCCUUAAAAGUCGUCUCAGUUCGGAUUGUCCUCUGCAACUCGAGGGCAUGAAGUUGGAAUCGCUAGUAAUCGCGGAUCAGCAUGCCGCGGUGAAUACGUUCCCGGGCCUUGUACACACCGCCCGUCACACCACGGGAGUUGGUUCUACCCGAAGGCGCUGCGCUAACUCGCAAGAGAGGCAGGCGACCACGGUAGGGUCAGCGACUGGGGUGAAGUCGUAACAAGGUAGA
rnacentral:rRNA from 1 species